rnacentral:rRNA from 1 species
GACGAACGCUGGCGGCGUGCUUAACACAUGCAAGUCGAACGAUGAAGAAAAGAAUCGAAGCUUCGGCAGAAAUUCAUUUCGGAUUAGUGGCAGACGGGUGAGUAACGCGUGAGCAACCUACCUCUUACAAAGGGAUGGCCUCGGGAAACCUGGAUUAAUACCAUAUAACAUUGCGACGAAGCAUUUCGAUUCAAUCAAAGCUAUGGCGGGAAGCGAUGGGCUCGCGUCCCAUUAACAGGAUGGUGAGGUAACGGGUCACCAUAGUGACGAUGGGUAAACGGGCAGAGAGGGUGAACGGUCACACCGGAACUGAGACACGGUCGAGAAUCCUACGGGAUGCAGGAGUGGGGAACAUUGCAAAAUGGAGGGAACGCUGAUGCAGCGACGCCGCGUGAGUGAUGAAGGUAUUCGUUAAGUAAAACUCCGUUCUAUGGGAAGAAAAGGACGGUACCAUAGGAGAAAGCCCCGGCUAAAUACGUG